rnacentral:rRNA from 1 species
CACGUAGGGUGCGAGCGUUAAUCGGAAUUACUGGGCGUAAAGCGUGCGUAGGCGGUUGGCUAAGUCAGAUGUGAAAGCCCUGGGCUCAACCUGGGAAUGGCAUUUGAAACUGGCCGGCUAGAGUGUGAUAGAGGAUGGCGGAAUUCCCGGUGUAGCGGUGAAAUGCGUAGAGAUCGGGAGGAACAUCCGUGGCGAAGGCGGCCAUCUGGAUCAACACUGACGCUGAGGCACGAAAGCGUGGGGAGCAAACAGG